CGUUCGGCGCUCUGAUUGGCCAGCGCAAACAAACCAACCAAUGAGAACGCCGAACGCG
rnacentral:precursor_RNA from 1 species